rnacentral:other from 1 species
CGCUAUCAUCAUUAACUUUAUUUAUUACCGUCAUUCAUUUCUGAAUGUCUGUUACCCCUAUUUCAACCGGAUGCCUCGCAUCCGGUUUUUUUU